AGCAACAAAAUAAUAAAAACAUUUAGUGUGGAUGGUCGCAAUGUUUAGAUGCAAACAAAACAAUAUUAUUUAUAAAUGGAUUAUAUAUAUCAUCUAGGGAAAACAGUGUAAAAUGCGCUUAUUUUCGAGAUGGCACGCUUCCAUGCAGACUGUUUUUUAAGCAGAAGUUUGGUUUCAUAAGAAACACAUGCGUGAGUCAACUCUUGGUCCAAACUCCAAUCCAGACGGUGGCGGUAAUGUUCCAAAAGCUGGUUGCCAACCGCUAUGAUGAUCACAAGAAGAAAAAGAAGUUUGGCGUUUCAAAACAGUGGAUUCCAGUCAGAAAGACACACAUGAGGAAGCUCGACUCAGCUUGGCUUGCAGACAGAUGAGGACGGUGAUUGCCCGUCAUACACCUAAAGAAAGAACAGGGGCAUUAAAGACACAACUAUAGUGAACGUGAUGAAGAAAAAGUAUUUGGAACAAAGAGGCUGGAUAAAAAACUGAUAUGAAGAUUUCAGAAAUUGAUGCAGCACCACAAGUACCAUCACCACCAAUGACUAUGGCAGGAUCCUUAAGAACACCAUCAAGAUGCACAGAUGCUGUACAUUCCAGUACACCUAUGAACAUUUACAGUCCUUGUUCAAGUGCAGUCCGAGAUCAAGACAACUUAUUGCAACUCGUCAUGUCUUUGUAAGAAUUCAAGACAUCACUAAAUUUGUAAUGGCUUAAUGCAGCUAGAAAGUAAAGAUCAACUAGAGAAUAUCAGCAGUGUCUAACCCACUGUUGUAUUUACACAAGUUGCAUGAGAAUAAGCAACAGGUUGAUUUAUACUAAUUUGUUAUUUUUCUUUUUUAGCACGACUGAAAAAAAGUUUUAAAAUCAUGUUACGUCAUAAAGCAGCAACUGUGCCUGAUUCUCACAAAUCAGCAAAACCAAAACAGACGUGAUGAAAUUCCAGAUGUAAACACAUUUGACCUUUCUUUGUCCAAUUUGAUUUGUAAAAACUUGAAAAUCAACUAAACGAGCAGCCCGAACAAAUGAAGAAACUGGUAGCCUACUUUGGAAUCAUGGGUGUUUUCCACUAAGCAGUUUGGUGUGUCCCGGGAAAGCUUUUGGCUCACUUUUUGGCUGAACAAAUUAACUGGAGCAGGGCAAACCAAAAUGUGGCCUUUCAUGCACUCUCCCUUAGGACUGUCUAGUCAAUGUAGUGAGGAGAAAUGUCCAUACCACACCACUGAUAAAGAAGUGGAAAAAUGCAUUACAAGGUGGCUACAACGUGCUCCUGACAGGGCUGGAGGAAGGAGGGAAGAAGAGAAAGCUAAUGUGUCAAAUGUCUACAUCAAUAAUUUAUUUUUUAAACAACAUUUUAAGUGUAUUAAGAUGUUCCCUGAUACUUGGG